UACGUAGGGGGCAAGCGUUGUCCGGAUUUAUUGGGCGUAAAGAGCGUGUCGGCGGCCUUUUAAGUCCUGCGUGAAAUCCUGCGGCUCAACCGCAGACGGUCGUGGGAAACUGGAAGGCUAGAGUGCGGGAGAGGAGAGUGGAAUUCCCGGUGUAGCGGUGAAAUGCGCAGAUAUCGGGAAGAACACCCGUGGCGAAGGCGGCUCUCUGGAACGCAACUGACGCUGAGACGCGAAAGCGUGGGGAGCAAACAGG
rnacentral:rRNA from 1 species